rnacentral:tRNA from 1 species
GGGCCCAUAGCUCAGUUGGAAGAGCUCCCGGCUCAUAACCGGUUGGUCCCAGGUUCGAGCCCUGGUGGGCCCA